AAACUAACAAGGAUUCCCCUAGUAACUGCGAGUGAAGCGGGAAAAGCUCAAAUUUAAAAUCUGGCGGUCUUUGGCCGUCCGAGUUGUAGUCUGGAGAAGUGCUUUCCGCGCUGGACCGUGUACAAGUCUCUUGGAACAGAGCGUCAUAGAGGGUGAGAAUCCCGUCUUUGACACGGACUACCAGUGCUUUGUGAUGCGCUCUCAAAGAGUCGAGUUGUUUGGGAAUGCAGCUCAAAAUGGGUGGUAAAUUCCAUCUAAAGCUAAAUAUUGGCGAGAGACCGAUAGCGAACAAGUACCGUGAGGGAAAGAUGAAAAGCACUUUGGAAAGAGAGUUAAACAGUACGUGAAAUUGCUGAAAGGGAAACGCUUGAAGUCAGUCGCGUUGGCCAGGACUCAGCCUUGCUUUAGCUUGGUGCAUUUUCUGGUUGACGGGCCAGCAUCGAUUUCGGUCGUCGGAUAAAGGUUGGGGGAAUGUGGCAUCUUCGGAUGUGUUAUAGCCCUCAGUCACAUACGACGGCUGGGAUCGAGGACCGCAGCACGCCUUUAUGGCCGGGGUUCGCCCACGUUCGUGCUUAGGAUGCUGGCAUAAUGGCUUUAAACGACCCGUCUUGAAACACGGACCAAGGAGUCUAACAUGCCUGCGAGUGUUUGGGUGGAAAACCCGAGCGCGUAAUGAAAGUGAAAGUUGAGAUCCCUGUCGCGGGGAGCAUCGACGCCCGGACCUGACCUUCUGUGAUGGAUCUGCGGUAGAGCAUGUAUGUUGGGACCCGAAAGAUGGUGAACUAUGCCUGAAUAGGGUGAAGCCAGAGGAAACUCUGGUGGAGGCUCGUAGCGAUUCUGACGUGCAAAUCGAUCGUCAAAUUUGGGUAUAGGGGCGAAAGACUAAUCGAACCAUCUAGUAGCUGGUUCCUG
rnacentral:rRNA from 1 species